rnacentral:ncRNA from 1 species
GAGAGACAUAAGUUCAUUUAUUUUAUUUUUUGCUCUCAUUUAGAAAUUGUCCCUAUCUACUAUCUAGCGAAACCACAGCCAAGGGAACGGGCUUGGAAAAAUCAGCGGGGAAAGAAGACCCUGUUGAACUUGACUCUAGUCUGACUCUGUGAAGAGACAUGAGAGGUGUAGCAUAAGUGGGAGGC